rnacentral:lncRNA from 1 species
GCCCUUUGGGAGGCUGAGGCAGGCAGAUCACCUGAGGUUGGGAGUUCGAGACCAGCCUGACCAACAUGGAGAAACCCUGUCUCUACUAAAAAUACAAAAUUAGCCGGGCAUGGUGGUGCAUGCCUGUAAUCCCAGCUAUUCGGGAGGGUGAGGCAGGAGAAUCGCAUGAACCUGGGAGGCGGAGGUUGCGGUGAGCCGAGAUCGUGCCCGGGCAGCAAGAGCAAAAGAAACUCCAUCUCAAAAAAAAAAAAAAAACAAAAAACACAAAAACAAACAAACAAAAAAUGACCAAAAAAACCAUAUUACGUACAUUACUAUAUAUAAUAUAAAUAAAAAAGAAUGAGAUAAUACAAACAAUAUUUAUUGUCUCACUGGUCUUAGUGGCUUCAUACUAUGCUUAAGGCAUGCGUAUUGGUCUCUGGAGGCACACUGCAUGCUUGGAUGAAGUUUAUUAUUAACAUUAAUAUAUAAUUUCACAGUCAAACACUUUUUGAAAAUACAUUGAAGAAAUUUUUAACUGAUUGCAUUAUUUCUAUCUUGUGAUGGGGCUGACCAAGAACUCAUACCAGGAGGAGAAGCAUCAACUCUGCCAUUUUCUUGUUUUCUUCCUGUAUUAUGCUCAACCCACCAUUUCUUUGCAGGGAUAUUUUCAGCCACUUCUCCAUUUCGUGAUGAUUAGUAUGAUUAGAACUGGACAAUAAAAUGCAUAUCCACUUAACCAGGUGCAUGUUAAUAUACUGACAGUGAACAGAUGUGUGAGGGAGCUGCAGCUGUCCCUUCCCUUCAUGGAACUUGUCCUUGAGAGCACUCUUUGCACAUUAUGUGGCAUGUGACCCUCUCACAUAACAACCAAAG